rnacentral:rRNA from 1 species
UACGAAGGGGGCGAGCGUUGUUCGGAAUUACUGGGCGUAAAGGGCGCGCAGGCGGCUCUGAAAGUCAGAUGUGAAAGCCCCGGGCUUAACCUGGGAAUUGCAUUUGAUACUCUGGAGCUUGAGUGUGGGAGAGGAGAGUGUAAUUCCCAGUGUAGAGGUGAAAUUCGUAGAUAUUAGGAAGAACACCAGUGGCGAAGGCGGCUCACUGGCCCGGUACUGACGCUGAGGCGCGAAAGCGUGGGGAGCAAACAGG